rnacentral:rRNA from 1 species
AACGUAGGUUCCGAGCGUUAUCCGGAUUUACUGGGCGUAAAGCGCGUUCAGGCGGUUUGGCAAGUCGGGCAUGAAAUCUCUCGGCUCAACCGGGAGAGGUUGUCCGAUACUGCUGGACUUGAGGGCAGUAGAGGGUGGUGGAAUUCCGGGUGUAGUGGUGAAAUGCGUAGAUAUCCGGAGGAACACCAAUUGCGAAGGCAGCUCGCUGGGACGUUACUGACGCUGAGACGCGAAAGCGUGGGGAGCAAACAGG